rnacentral:rRNA from 1 species
AUUGAACGCUGGCGGCAGGCCUAACACAUGCAAGUCGAACGCGUGGCGGACGGGUGAGUAAUGUCUGGGAAACUGCCUGAUGGAGGGGGAUAACUACUGGACACGGUAUCUAAUACCGCAUACCAUCAGAUGUUCCAAUAUGGGAUUAGCUAGUUGGUUGGGUAACGUCUCACCAAAGCGACGAUCCCUAGCUGGUCUGAGAGGAUGACCAGCAACACUGGAACGGGUACACGGCCCAGACUCCUACGGGAGGUAGCGGUGGGGAAUUUUGGACAAUGGGGGCAACCCUGAUCCAGCCAUGCCGCGUGUAUGAAGAAGGCCUUCGGGUUGUAAAGUACUUUUUUUAGGGAAGCGGUACCUAAAGAAUAAGCACCGGCUAACUACGUGCCAGCAGCCGCGGUAAUAC